rnacentral:rRNA from 1 species
AACGGACGCUGGCGGCAUGCCUAACACAUGCAAGUCGAACGAGAUCUUCGGGUCUAGUGGCGCACGGGUGCGUAACGCGUGGGAAUCUGCCCUUUGGUUCGGAAUAACAGUUGGAAACGACUGCUAAUACCGGAUGAUGACGAAAGUCCAAAGAUUUAUCGCCAGAGGAUGAGCCCGCGUAGGAUUAGCUAGUUGGUGUGGUAAAGGCGCACCAAGGCGACGAUCCUUAGCUGGUCUGAGAGGAUGAUCAGCCACACUGGGACUGAGACACGGCCCAGACUCCUACGGGAGGCAGCAGUGGGGAAUAUUGGACAAUGAGCGAAAGCCUGAUCCAGCAAUGCCGCGUGAGUGAUGAAGGCCUUAGGGUUGUAAAGCUCUUUUACCCGGGAUGAUAAUGACAGUACCGGGAGGAUAAGCUCCGGCUAACUCCGUGCCAGCCGCCGCAGUAA